rnacentral:rRNA from 1 species
GAAUUUUGCGCAAUGGGCGAAAGCCUGACGCAGCAACGCCGCGUGGGGGAUGAGGGCUCUUGGGUCGUAAACCCCUUUUGCCGGGGAAGAUCGUGACGGUACCCGGCGAAUAAGCCACGGCUAACUACGUGCCAGCAGCCGCGGUAAUACGUAGGUGGCAAGCGUUGUCCGGAUUUAUUGGGCGUAAAGAGCGCGCAGGCGGUUCGCAUAGUCCGAGGUGAAAUCUCCCGGCUCAACUGGGAGGGGUCUUCGGAUACUGGCGGGCUUGAGGAGAGCAGAGGUGAGCGGAAUUCUCGGUGUAGUGGUGAAAUGCGUAGAUAUCGAGAGGAACACCAGCGGCGAAGGCGGCUCACUGGGCUCCACCUGACGCUGAGGCGCGAAAGUGUGGGGAUCAAACAGG